AACGCUUUGACAGGUGUGUUGUGUGUGUGUGUGUGUGUGUGUGUGUGUGUGUGUGUGUGUAUCGAGACAAAUUUACAGCAUGAGGCCACAGAGACGAGAGAGGUGUGAUGACAUCGUGCCAAACAGAGAAACACGUGAAUGUUUGUGGAGAAGCCACACGCGUGUGCUGACGUCACGCGAUCGCUUCACUGAUUGUUCAGGAAGAAGAAGAUCGACCGCUGAUUCUGAUCUCUCGUGGUCGAGUUUGUCGUCGUCGCGGAGGCUUUCCCGCGGACGGAGUUCUGAGAUCGCGGGAUGUGUCCUGAAAGCUCCGCUCACGGUAACUUUAAAAGGUGCUGGACCAUCACGCGUUUCUCGAAAGGAACUCCAGUUUACGACACACCGCGUCCACCGCGGCCUUUCACCGUCAAAUCCAAACCGAACCGCGACCAUGAACAAAACAACCGCGGUUUGAAUCGAGCGUCGAGGAGCUCUGAAGUGAAGAGAGUUAACACGACAGGUCAAAGGUCACGCGUUGUGUUCGCGCCGACUGUGACGGGAGGUGAACACGUGACGGGUCAAGAUUUUAUUUCUGCACCUCGUUGGAUUUAGUUGUUGGAUCAUCCAGUUUUUCUAGAAUCUCGAGAUUAUUCAUGAACAUUUUUAAGGAUUUAAAUCAGAAAUCGUCAGAUAUGAAUUUCAUCAUCGUCUCUGAAGUGCAGCUGAAAUUAAUUAAAACAAACAACAACCCACAUUAAUGAUCAUUUCUAUUAUUUCUGGCCUCUUGUCCUUUUUUUUUUUGUAAAUCGAUUGUUAAACUCCUGUUUUGAAAUAUAUAAAAAUAAAACUUAAUAAUAAAUCACAGUUACUCUAAGUACUGAAAGUGAAAUCAGUGAUUUUAAAACGCAGUUUGUCCAAAAAAACAAAAAACAAACAAA